CGGGAUUAGAGCACUGCAUUAGCCAAAGAGAAAGAAGAAAGAAGGCAGAUAAAAUUUUCUUUUCAUAUUCUCAGUCGUUCUCUCGGGUAGCAGAACCGUCAUCGAGUGUACACCAGCCACUUACAUGUAGAGGGAAGAGCUUAUGUAAUUGUUCACACUUUUGUCAGACCUGGAACCGGCUCUCAAAGAUCUUAAAGACAAGCUCUUGACUAAGUAUGUGGUAUGCAGUCUUCUUCAAUUCUGUUGUUUUUUUCUCAAUAAACAUUUAUCGAUCAAAAUUUGUAAGUAAGUCUACAAACCGGCG